UGAGGCACCCACACACAGAGUACCUAAAGUACAUGAACAGAGAAUUACUGAACAUCUGUUGAUGGAAUACAAUUCAAAGGUGACUAAUGGACAAGUGAGAACCCAAUAAGUGAAGAAACCCCAUUUGUGGAUAAACUCAGUGAAAAGAGGUACAGCCACAGGAACACUGAAUCUAAGGAGCUCUUCAAGCUGAAUAGAAGCAAAGAACAGGAUAGCAAAAAUGGAGUUGGACUUACAGCGAAGAAGAGGAAAACUUGGUUGUUUGAAGUGACAUAGUGUAUUGUAGAGUAAUUUCUUUUGUUCUUGUUAAUAACAAUGUAUUUGGUACUAACUGUUCACCAUGUAAAAGCUCAUAAAGAUUAAUGAGCUUGUAACCUAUAGUUUAUUACUAUAAAUGGUAAGCCUUUUGGUAAAUUUCUAUAUUAUUUAUGCUUCUGGUACAAUUUUGGGGUUUUACUGUAUAAAGUUCUAAAAAUUUAAAAUGAUCCCUUCGUCUUGGUUUGCCCCUUCACACAAUUCGUCUAGACUAGACUACACUAGCCAGGUCACCACAAAUUGACACACAACCCCUAGUCCUCCCAACAAAGAAAUAGUGACAUUUUAAAAAAGAAGAAACUCUGCAAGAUGUGUACAUUACUAACAAAAGCAACAAUAAGGCCUUAUCAAUGUAAUCCUCAUCGUUUCUUUCCCCAUAACAGCUCUUUGCUUUUCAUGGUUAAGCCUUAAUAUAGAAUGUGAGCUCUUUAGGGUGGAAAUUAUGUCUUCUAUUUCUCAAGUGUCAUGCAUAUUUGUGGUACUAGGUCUCACUAUACAGUAUUUGUCCUUUUGAACUUUGCUUUAUAAAAUAUUGCAACCUCUCCAGAGGAGAGACUGAAUAAACUCUGACCUUUAUGCUCGGACUUAACACCUAUUCAAAGCAAAAUAAAUUGUCCAUACUAUCUAAGCUGGGUGUUUUUUGUAACAUUCCUUUUAGCAACUGCGAUUGUAGAAGAUCAUAGAAUACUCCAGAGACUAAACUCUUUAAAGUUUCUUCAAGAACCAUCAUCAGAGGUGACACAACUUUUCACUGUAAUGGACUUCACUUCUUACAUAGUGAAGCAAAUUCUGUUGGAGGGCACUCCUACACAACAAAGCAUAAAACUCCCUUUACCAUCAGCCUUUUCCUGAUAAUAGGUGCAUUUGCAAUAACGAACAAACGUUAAAAUCCAUAAAAAUUCCCAGGCUUGACAUUGGAUUGUCCCUUAAGUAAAUCCUCUGCCGCAAAUGCAGGAAACAGUCCAUAGUAUGCAAUUAUAUACUAAGUACUCAACAAUCCUGUGUAGCACUUCUCCCAAAGGACAUUGUUCACCAAGUAUAUGAACCCACACCAUUGGAAUUAAGUUGAAACAGCUAGUUUGUUUCCUUUCUCAGAUGGCUUUUCUUGGUUGAUUGGCCUGUUGUUUCCAUAGAAAUGCAUUGCCUAUUUUUUAACUUAAAUUCAUGGAAAAUCAUCCUGAAUGGCUGAAAACUAGUUAAGUUUCUACUUGUUAUCCCCACAGCCGUCAACGGUAUUAGGAGGCCUGGGAUAGUAUCAACCACUGAGGUCAUAUAGGCAAUCAACUGUAGCGUGCGUUCAGGGGAAACUAUUACAGUAAUGUGGAGCUGGGUCAGGUAUUUUAACAUUCAAACUAAAAUUUCAUUAAUGAGAUCACUUCGCCUCCUCUCCACAUCCCCCAAAUUUCUAACCUAUUCUUUCCUUUUAAAAUGUUGAUUUUUAUUAGCACUGUUUAACCGCCUAUACCCCUGCAUAAACGUAUAAGCGUUGUCAUGUAUUAUCUGUCUAUGGCCUGAGCGCAUCACAAUCUUUGAUGUAUUUAUUCUCACAACACCCCUGUGAUGUACAGUAGUGUUAUCUCCAAUGUACAAAUGGCAGAGUGAGGCGCAGAGAGGCUAAGGCCCAGGUUGUCAAAGGUAUUUCAGCUCCUAACUUCUGCUGAAACCAGCAGAAGUUAGGAACCCAAGGACAUUUUGAGAACCUGAGCCUUAAAGUGACUUGUCCAGACACACAGAAAAUCAGUGAUGGAGCAGGGAAUUGAAUUCUACUCCCAGGCCAGCACCCUAACUAUUGGACUAUUCUUAUUAUUGUAACAAUACAGUUGCUCUAAACAUCGGGUUUCUGUGGUUCCCCUUGCCCCAAUAAUUCUUUUAAUAACAUAGAGUGGCCAUACUGCUCCAUCUAGUCCAGUGUCCUGUCUUCCGACAGUGGAAAAUGCCAGGUGCCCCAGAGG